GUUCAAUAGUGUAACCAUGGCUCUCUUCACUUUGCUUCUUCCACUGACUUUAUUCCAGCUUGGAGUGAUGACAUCUUUUUCAGAUGACUGCACACAUACAGUUAUGACCCCAAUUAUUGAAGUGCCUGAAAUAAUCUACAUAUCUGAAGAGGAACAGAUUCGCUGUGAAGCCCAGAAUGGAGAUUACUGUCUUUUCUACAAACACCCCAGUGAA